rnacentral:rRNA from 1 species
AGCAGUAGCCGCGGUAAUACGUAGGUGGCAAGCGUUGUCCGGAAUUACUGGGCGUAAAGGGCUCGUAGGCGGUUUCUUAAGUCUGAUGUGAAAGCCCCCGGCUCAACCGGGGAGGGUCAUUGGAAACUGGGAAACUUGAGUGCAGAAGAGGAGAGUGGAAUUCCACGUGUAGCGGUGAAAUGCGUAGAGAUGUGGAGGAACACCAGUGGCGAAGGCGACUCUCUGGUCUGUAACUGACGCUGAGGAGCGAAAGCGUGGGGAGCGAACAGGAUUAGAGACCCCCGUAGUCCCUGUCUCUUAUAC